rnacentral:rRNA from 1 species
GAGACAGCAGUAGCCACGGUAAUACGAAGGGGGCUGGCGUUGUUCGGAUUUACUGGGCGUAAAGCGCACGUAGGCGGAUCGAUCAGUCAGGGGUGAAAUCCCAGAGCUCAACUCUGGAACUGCCUUUGAUACUGUCGAUCUGGAGUAUGGAAGAGGUGAGUGGAAUUCCGAGUGUAGAGGCGAAAUUCGUAGAUAUUCGGAGGAACACCAGUGGCGAAGGCGGCUCACUGGUCCAUUACUGACGCUGAGGUGCGAAAGCGUGGGGAGCAAACAGGAUUAGAUACCCCGGUAGUCCCUGUCUCUUAUAC